UACGGGGGGGGCAAGCGUUGUUCGGAAUUACUGGGCGUAAAGGGCUCGUAGGCGGCCAACUAAGUCGGACGUGAAAUCCCUCGGCUUAACCGGGGAACUGCGUCCGAUACUGGAUGGCUUGAGUGUGGGAGAGGGAUGCGGAAUUCCAGGUGUAGCGGUGAAAUGCGUAGAUAUCUGGAGGAACACCGGUGGCGAAGGCGGCAUCCUGGACUAAUACUGACGCUGAGGGAGCGAAAGCCAGGGGAGCAAACGGG
rnacentral:rRNA from 1 species